AUGCAAGUCGAGGGGUAUAGUAGCAAUACUAGAGACCGGCGCACGGGUGCGUAACGCGUAUGCAAUCUACCUUAUACAGAGGGAUAGCCCAGAGAAAUUUGGAUUAAUACCUCAUAGCAUAGCAACUUCGCAUGAAGUCACUAUUAAAGUUCCAACGGUAUAAGAUGAGCAUGCGUCCUAUUAGCUAGAUGGUAAGGUAACGGCUUACCAUGGCUACGAUAGGUAGGGGUCCUGAGAGGGAGAUCCCCCACACUGGUACUGAGACACGGACCAGACUCCUACGGGAGGCAGCAGUGAGGAAUAUUGGACAAUGGGCGCAAGCCUGAUCCAGCCAUGCCGCGUGCAGGAAGACGCAUCUAUGGUGUGUAAACUGCUUUUGUACGGGAAGAAACACUCCCUCGUGAGGGAGCUUGACGGUACCGUAAGAAUAAGGAUCGGUUAACUCCGUGCCAGCAGCCGCGGUAAUACGGAGGAUCCAAGCGUUAUCCGGAAUCAUUGGGUUUAAAGGGUCCGUAGGCGGUUUGGUAAGUCAGUGGUGAAAGCCCAUCGCUUAACGAUGGAACGGCCAUUGAUACUGCCAGACUUGAAUUACUGGGAAGUAACUAGAAUAUGUAGUGUAGCGGUGAAAUGC
rnacentral:rRNA from 1 species